UGGAGCGCUGUGGGUGCUUCGGUCAAGAGGACCUUUCGUGCAACAGUAAAGAGGCUUAUGAUAUAAUGUCACACAAAAACCACACAAAAGGAUAUUUGAAGGCGAUUGGCCCUGUAUCACUAAAGACACACCAGCCAGCCUCCGGAAGCCUUGUUGAGUGCUAACCGAUGUGAGUAAACAGGGCAGACCACAGGAUAUUCAGGGGCAAAGAUUACAAGAUUAACAAGUGACCACUUUUCUGAAGAAGGGUCUAGGCCCGAACCGUCAGCUUUCCUGCUGCUUGGCCUGCUGUGUUCAUCCGGCUCGACACCUUGUUCUCUCAGACCACGUGAGCGAACGAGUACGGCGUGUUUGAGUCUGACUGGGAAAAAAGCCUUGAAAGUGCCGUUUUUUUUGCAUGGCAAGCUGCUGAAUACGAACCAGUCUCACACCAUUGCCAUCACCUUGCCCUUGUGAAGGCAGAUAUGGAUAAAGUUUUCAAAGCUGAUAGAAAAUUGAAAGCACUCGCAUCCUGUGACCAUGAUUCUGAUGUCGGUAACUGGAAAACCUCCAUGGUUGGAGGACGAGAAGCCGUAUCCAAUUGAAGCAGCAGAGGCUUUUGCGAUGACUGUGGAAACCACUGCUUAUGCCUUGCUUCAAGCAUUGUCAAGGAAUGAUAUUGACUAUGCAACACCGAUUGCGAGGUGGCUAACGAUGCAACAGAACUAUGGUGGUGGAUUUCACUCGACGCAGGACACAAUCAUUGCCUUGGAAGCUUCAUCAUGACACGACAUUGCAUUUCUGAAGAGGGAAGAAGAAAUCAACAUGCAAAUUCAAUUCCAUGGUUUUGGACGUCCCAUUGAGAACACGAUUCAUGUGCGGCGGCAUAAUGCUCUGACCGAGAAAGAAUCGAAGUUUCCACUUGGAAGAAAGAUUCACAUCAAAUUGACUGGUCAAGGAACUGGGACACUGACUUUGGUCGAGUGGAUCACAGAAAGUCUGGCAACAAAAAAGCUGCAAUGGUUACCUCGUCACUGCUUCCAACUCCUCCUCUUUCUCAGCUGGUGCCCGAUCACUGGCAGCGACAGCGUACCCUCAUGAUGCCAAGGUUGGAGACUAUCAAGAAUCAUGACGACACCGGCCCUUCUCUGUACUGCAGGACUGCCCCAGAGUGCUCCAGGCAGCAGAAACAACAUUGAACUACUCCAGUGGUCUGCACCAUUACAUUUCCUGUGGUACUUUAUGCAGCCCCUCUGAGUGUGUAAUACACACUCCCAUAUGGACCACGUCAUCAAACAAAGGCUCUUGUCACCUCCUCAUUACUUCAAGUUGUUCAAAUGAGGAUGGCAGGGCAGAAUAUUGAAGAAUUAUUACAAAGUCUUCUGUUCAGUAUCCUGCUGCUCUCUGACAAGGAAAACUGAAAUGUACUUGAUUUUCAUGUAAUUUUGAUUCCCAUUACAGGUCCUUACGGGAACAGGAAAAAUGACAAGCUGGAAAAUUUUGCAAGUAAUCUUUGGGCCAGCCUGGAAUCUUCCCAUCCUCUGGCCAUGACCUUGUGACCCUGCUUGGAGGUUGUAGUUACAGUUUCAGAAGUGAUCAAUUCCAGUGAGGAUGUCUGUACUAAGGUGAAAGCUCACGCACAGUUCUUCACGACGGGAAAAAUGGCUCCAUUCAGACUCUGGAGAUUCAGGUAUCCCACUGAGAAUCGUUGUCUCCUUCAUCAUUCACCUUAUUCCAGUCACCUGUCCUGCUCUGUGUGAUUUCUGUCCAUUCUCUCAGUCAUGCUUGUCUGAGGGGAUAGCCACUACUGUAGCCCUGUUGUUGACUUGUGCAGUAUCCUCACAGUCAGGGAAUGCUUCCCCAUUCCUGAGAGAUUUCAGCUGGCUUAAACAGCUCUGAAAACCACUAAACACUUUUACAAGAGUCAGCGGAAAUCCACUUGCAUCUAACCUGUAAGUAGUUGGUGAUAUCUCUAUCCUCACUGCACUGGAUUAAGAGAGGAUUGUAACUGGAAUACUGAGGUCAAAACAUAUACCAUUAGCAUCCAAGCAGCAUUACGCAUACUUCCAUCAGAAUGUGAAUCAGAUGACAGGGAUUAUACCUAGCACUUGGAGAACUGACAGAAACCCCAGGUUACUGUGUCAGGAAAGUUCCAGUGAAUGAAGUGCCAACCGAGCACUCACCAUUCGGGGGCAGUCUGUGGCUAAAACCCCACUCACUGAGAGAU